ensembl:lncRNA
CUUUAUUCACCCGCUUCGGCUGUUAUCAGUCCAUACAAUGGGCGUUAUUAGCAGAAAUCAGUCCCAUAGAUGUGGGCCAUCUCCACCUGCUAGAUUGUUCAGAAGGUUGUUCUCAUCCAUCCAGAUGGAGGAUCACUAACAGGAGCGUGGAAGACUCCAGAAUCCACUCUGGCUGGAAUCCGGUGGAUACAGCAGUGUUACAGAACAGUUCUCCACAGUCACUGUCCACAUGGGUCAGUGGGACCACGCAGCACUCUGCUAAUGUGUGGACUCUGACCAGCAACAUCCAGCAAGACCCAGACAGCGUUUUCUAUCUCCCAGCUGGAGUUUUUUGUUUGUCUGUGACUGGAGAGUCACAGAUUUUUGUUGAGGCUGGAGGAACAGCCUCACACUCGCAGAGGUUAAUACACGCUACUGAUCCCUGAUGGGAGAAUCAUCACCUCUGCCAACAAAGAAGCCUGCUGGAUGUUUGUUUACAGACUGAUGAUGGGACAUCAUGCUCUGCAUCUUCAAAGUUUGUCUCUUGAUUAUUAUUCAUACACAGUAAUGUGAAGUAUGCUCAUAUCUAGUAUAACGGGACCAACGUGGUGCUCUUCAUUUAUGGAGGCUGUUGAGUCUGAAUGUUGGAUGUUGUGUAUCUCUUGUUCUCUGGGCUUUGUUGUCCUCAGUCUUUUUGCAGGAUCAGAAAACAAAACCAGGAUGACCGUAAAUGUUUCUUCUCCAAUUGGAUGAUGAUAAGACUGUGACACGGGAUGCCACCUUUAGUCUUGUGAUGAAGCAAAGCUCAGGAAAAAGUGUGAUUAAAUGGUACCCACAUGUGUGCUGCUGAGAAGGAUGUACAGGGGCACCUGCAGCCAAAUCCAAGCCUCCUCAGCAACUUCAAGUCUGUCAGCGUGCUGAGGUCACAGAAACAAGAAAAGCAGCUUCAGACUUCAGAGUGUUGUUUACAGUUUUCUGUCAUCAUGAUCUCCCCUGAAGUUUAUCACUAUUAGGCAAGCAAGCAGAGCGGCCGUUUGUGCUCACAGAUGGUGACGGUGUGGAGAGACGGUGGUGUUUCCUCAGAAGAACUAGCAGAGUCACAAAGGGCACGAGUCCUUCUCACCACCUUGACUUGCUGACUGAUGCUCGUCUGCACUGCACAGAGGAAAUCAAC